UACGUAGGGGGCAAGCGUUGGUCCGGAAUCAUUGGGCGUAAAGCGCGUGUAGGCGGUCCGGUAAGUCCGCUGUGAAAGUCGGGGGCUUAACCCUCGGAUGCCGGUGGAUACUGUCGGGCUUGAGUACGGAAGAGGCGAGUGGAAUUCCUGGUGUAGCGGUGAAAUGCGCAGAUAUCAGGAGGAACACCAAUUGCGAAGGCAGCUCGCUGGGACGUUACUGACGCCGAGACGCGAAAGCGUGGGGAGCAAACAGG
rnacentral:rRNA from 1 species